AGGUCGGAGCCGGAGCUUCAUAGUCGGAGUCGGAGUCGGAACUUCUUCAUGCGGGUGUAUGGAUACCAGGGUCCUGCCCAUAAACAAGAAUACUAUUUUCCAAAAUUAUUAACUCCCAAUAGUUUGCCCCUUAUCUUUCGAUUUCAUGGGUGAAGUCGGGAGAUAACAAGUGUAGUUUCGCCAACCGGAGUCGUUCCAUCUCAGCAUGCUUAUAGUGGACAGUACGCUGCUUCCCUUUUUCUGAUUUCUUCUUAUUUCUGGACCGUGUUAGAACCUGGAGGAGAGUCGUUUUUUCAGAUGGUAGACCGGGGUCUUGAUGAGUACUUCCAGGUUCU
rnacentral:lncRNA from 1 species